AUUAGCUCAGCUGGGAGAGCAUCUGCCUUACAAGCAGGAGGUCACAGGUUCGGACCAGGUAU
rnacentral:tRNA from 1 species